rnacentral:rRNA from 1 species
CUGGCAGUAAACGGUGCACAUUUGGUGUGGGCGCAAUCGACCGCGUCCGCGCCGGAGCUAACGCGUUAAAUGUGCCGCCUGGGAAGUACGGUCGCAAGAUUAAAACUCAAAGAAAUUGACGGGGACCCGCACAAGCGGUGGAGUAUGUGGCUUAAUUCGAUGCAACGCGAAGAACCUUACCUGGUCUUGACAUGCAUUGUGUCUACGGUGAAAGCCGUAUAGGGUAGCAAUACCCGCUUUGCACAGGUGC